UACGUAGGUGGCAAGCGUUGUCCGGAUUUACUGGGCGUAAAGGGCGUGCAGGCGGUUUGUUAAGUGCAGGGUGAAAGCCUCCCGGCUCAACUGGGAGAGGUCCUUGCAUACUGGCGAACUCGAGGGAGGCAGAGGAAAGUGGAAUUCCCGGUGUAGUGGUGAUAUGCGUAGAUAUCGGGAGGAACACCUGUGGCGAAGGCGGCUUUCUGGGGCCUUACCUGACGCUGAGACGCGAAAGCGUGGGGAGCGAACGG
rnacentral:rRNA from 1 species